rnacentral:rRNA from 1 species
UUGAACGCUGGCGGCAUGCCUUACACAUGCCAGUCGCACGGUAACAGGUCUUCGGAUGCUGACGAGUGGCGAACGGGUGAGUAAUACAUCGGAACGUGCCCGAUCGUGGGGGAUAACGAGGCGAAAGCUUUGCUAAUACCGCAUACGAUCUACGGAUGAAAGCGGGGGAUCUUCGGACCUCGCGCGGACGGAGCGGCCGAUGGCAGAUUAGGUAGUUGGUGGGAUAAAAGCUUACCAAGCCGACGAUCUGUAGCUGGUCUGAGAGGAUGAUCAGCCACACUGGGACUGAGACACGGCCCAGACUCCUACGGGAGGCAGCAGUGGGGAAUUUUGGACAAUAGGCGAAAGCCUGAUCCAGCCAUGCCGCGUGCAGGAUGAAGGCCUUCGGGUUGUAAACUGCUUUUGUACGGAACGAAAAGCCUCUUUCUAAUAAAGAGGGGUCAUGACGGUACCGUAAGAAUAAGCACCGGCUAACUACGUG